rnacentral:lncRNA from 1 species
GUCUUAUUAAGAUUUCACACGCUUUAACCAAUUAAUUAGCAUCACUAGUAAACGAACUGUUGACUUCUGUACUCAACAUUUUUAACCUAGUAUGUCUGUUUGUUUUGUUCACACAUCGUUGUCAAUGUAAUGACAUUUUUGUGCAACUGUUUACAGAUAAGCCGAAUGACAGCCGUGAUUCAAUGUUAAAAAAAGCUUUUAAUAUAUAGUAAAGACGAAUGAUGUUUAAAAUGUUCUAAGAUCAUUUGUUUUCGAACAUUGUCUUUCGGGCAAAAAUUACGCACAAAAAAGAC